GAUGAAGAACGCAGCGAAAUGCGAUAAGUAAUGUGAAUUGCAGAAUUCAGUGAAUCAUCGAAUCUUUGAACGCACAUUGCGCCCGCCAGCAUUCUGGCGGGCAUGCCUGUUCGAGCGUCAUUUCAACCCUCGAGCCCCCCCGGGGGCCUCGGUGUUGGGGGACGGCACACCAGCCGCCCCCGAAAUGCAGUGGCGACCCCGCCGCAGCCUCCCCUGCGUAGUAGCACACACCUCGCACCGGAGCGCGGAGGCGGUCACGCCGUAAAACGCCCAACUUUCUUAGAGUUGACCUCGGAUCAGGUAGGAAUACCCGCUGAACUUAAGCAUAUCAAUAACGGAGGA
rnacentral:misc_RNA from 1 species